AAAAAAAAAAAAAAAAAAAAAAAAAAAAAAAAAAAAAAAAAAAAAAAAAAAAAAAAAAAAAAAAAAAAAAAAAAAAAAAAAAUUGAUAAACUUGCAGGGUAAUGCUUGUUUACGAGUUUGUUCCUAAUCGCACCUUGGAGUUCCAUCUUCAUGCUGCUGCUAACAAAUCGAUCUCACCGGCCACAAUCUACCAUCAAAUCGUUUAGAUUCAUCGGUGUUAAUGCUCGUUUUGCUGUAAUCUCGGUGAA
rnacentral:lncRNA from 1 species